AGCAUAUCAAUAUAGAAUUAUCAAGUACAUGAAGAAAUCAAAGGAAACAUGUUUGAGGACUUACAAUGGCUGGAAGAAAGGAAAGCCAAAAGUAAAUUUCAGUUUCUGAACAAAAUCCAGAAAAUUCAUUUUUUCAGAAGGAAAAAUGUAAUCAAAUUCCAUAAUAGUAAGGUUAAGAAAAUUAGUUUGAACGCAAUCCAGAAUGUCCUAAAUAUAUUUGAUGUAUUUUAUGAGCAAUUUGCCAUAAAUUAUAAAACCGACACCAAGAAUGGUUCUAAUAUAGAAAUGAUAAAAUUUCACGCCUGAGGUAUUAAAAUUUUGCAGCAAAAUUAUAUAACAAAAGCCUGAAAAAGAAAAAAGAAAAUUUGUUAUCUCUAACACAUUCGUUAAACCCACUCUCUAACACAUAUGUUAAACCCACUUAGACAUCCAAUUUCAAUUGGCAUGGAACUUCAUUAAUGUGAUUUUGGAUUCAGCUGGAAAUGAAAACUCGUGAACACAAAGGAAUGCAACUAAGAUCUAAGAUGGUUUUUCCUUGCUUCAACAGAAUUCAAACACCAUAACAGACAGCAAGGCAAAUCUAAGACAGCCAUUCAAUGUGGUUUCCUGAAAAAAUGCAAAUUACCAUGGAAAUCUAGGAAAAUGCAACAUAUAGCAUAG
rnacentral:misc_RNA from 1 species